AACGUAGGAGGCAAGCGUUAUCCGGAGUUACUGGGCGUAAAGCGCAUGUAGGCGGUUGGGCAAGUGGCGUGUGAAAGCUCCCGGCUAAACUGGGAGAGGACACGUCAGACUGCCCGGCUAGAGGUCGGUAGAGGGGCGCAGAAUUCGGGGUGUAGCGGUGAAAUGUGUAGAGAUCCCGAGGAAUACCAGUGGUGAAGGCGGCGCCCUGGGCCGAUACUGACGCUGAGACGCGAAAGCGUGGGGAGCGAACAGG
rnacentral:rRNA from 1 species